GAUGAACGCUGGCGGCGUGCCUAAUACAUGCAAGUCGAGCGAACAGACGAGGAGCUUGCUCCUCUGACGUUAGCGGCGGACGGGUGAGUAACACGUGGAUAACCUACCUAUAAGACUGGGAUAACUUCGGGAAACCGGAGCUAAUACCGGAUAAUAUAUUGAACCGCAUGGUUCAAUAUUGAAAGACGGUUUUGCUGUCACUUAUAGAUGGAUCCGCGCCGCAUUAGCUAUUUGGUAAGGUAACGGCUUACCAAGGCAACGAUGCGUAGCCGACCUGAGAGGGUGAUCGGCCACACUGGAACUGAGACACGGUCCAGACUCCUACGGGAGGCAGCAGUAGGGAAUCUUCCGCAAUGGGCGAAAGCCUGACGGAGCAGCGCCGCGUGAGUGAUGAAGGUCUUCGGAUCGUAAAACUCUGUUAUUAGGAAAGAACAAAUGUGUAAGUAACUAUGCACAUCUUGACGUUACCUAAUCAGAAAGCCACGGCUAACUACGUG
rnacentral:rRNA from 1 species